rnacentral:rRNA from 1 species
GAUGAACGCUGGCGGCGUGCCUAAUACAUGCAAGUCGAACGGAGCCUUCGGGCUUAGUGGCGAACGGGUGAGUAACACGUUGGUACCUACCCCUAAGUGGGGAAUAACUGGCCGAAAGGUCGGCUAAUACCGCAUAAUCCCGCAAGGGUAAAGCAGUAAUGCGCUUAGGGAGGGGCCUGCGUCUGAUUAGCUAGUUGGUAGUGUAAUAGACUACCAAGGCGACGAUCAGUAGCUGGAUCGAGAGGUUGACCAGCCACACUGGGACUGAGAUACGGCCCAGACACCUACGGGAGGCUG